CCUACGGGAGGCAGCAGUGGGGAAUUUUGGACAAUGGGCGAAAGCCUGAUCCAGCAAUGCCGCGUGAGUGAAGAAGGCCUUCGGGUUGUAAAGCUCUUUUGUCAGGGAAGAAACGGUGAGAGCUAAUAUCUUUUGCUAAUGACGGUACCUGAAGAAUAAGCACCGGCUAACUACGUGCCAGCAGCCGCGGUAAUACGUAGGGUGCAAGCGUUAAUCGGAAUUACUGGGCGUAAAGCGUGCGCAGGCGGUUUUGUAAGUCUGUCGUGAAAUCCCCGGGCUCAACCUGGGAAUUGCGAUGGAGACUGCAAGGCUAGAAUCUGGCAGAGGGGGGUAGAAUUCCACGUGUAGCAGUGAAAUGCGUAGAGAUGUGGAGGAACACCGAUGGCGAAGGCGGCCCCCUGGGUCAAGAUUGACGCUCAUGCACGAAAGCGUGGGGAGCAAACAGGAUUAAAUACCCUGGUAGUCCACGCCCUAAACGAUGUCUACUAGUUGUCGGGUUUAAUUACUUGGUAACGCAGCUACGCGUGUAGUAGACGACCGUCGGGAGGUACGGUACGCGAGAGUAAACUACGAAGAAGUAGUACGGACGUGAGACGUACGCCGACGGACGACGACGAGGGAGAGG
rnacentral:rRNA from 1 species